UCCAAGCAGUGCCAAAGUGCUCAUAGUGCAGGUAGUUUGUGAAAAUUCUCUACUGUAAUAUGGGCACUUAUUGUUCUGCGUGGG